rnacentral:rRNA from 1 species
AAAUUGAAGAGUUUGAUCAUGGCUCAGAUUGAACGCUGGCGGCAGGCCUAACACAUGCAAGUCGAGCGGCAGCGGGAAGUAGUUUACUACUUUGCCGGCGAGCGGCGGACGGGUGAGUAAUGUCUGGGAAACUGCCUGAUGGAGGGGGAUAACUACUGGAAACGGUAGCUAAUACCGCAUAACGUCUUCGGACCAAAGUGGGGGACCUUCGGGCCUCACGCCAUCGGAUGUGCCCAGAUGGGAUUAGCUAGUAGGUGGGGUAAUGGCUCACCUAGGCGACGAUCCCUAGCUGGUCUGAGAGGAUGACCAGCCACACUGGAACUGAGACACGGUCCAGACUCCUACGGGAGGCAGCAGUGGGGAAUAUUGCACAAUGGGCGCAAGCCUGAUGCAGCCAUGCCGCGUGUGUGAAGAAG